rnacentral:rRNA from 1 species
GACGAACGCUGGCGGCGUGCUUAACACAUGCAAGUCGAACGGAAAGGCCCCUUUGGGGGUACUCGCGUGGCGAACGGGUGGGUAACACGUGAGUAACCUGCCCUUGCCUUCGGGAUAACUUCAUGAAACUGGGGCUAAUACCUGACAGGAAUCCUUUCUGCCUGGAGGGGGUGGGAAAGCUUGGGCGGUUUGGGGUGGACUCGCGGCCGAUCUGCUUGUUGGUGGGGGGGGGGGUUACCAAGGCAUUGUCGGGCGGGCGGCCGGGGGGGGCGGACGGCCCCAUUGGGGCUGGGAUACGGCCCCGACUCCUACGGGGGGCAACAGUGGGGGAUAUUGCCCAAUGGGCGGAAGCCUGAUGCAGCCAAGCCGGGGGCGGGAUGACGGCCUUCGGGUUGUAAACCGCUUUCAGCCGGGGCGGAGCUUGUGGUGACGGUACCUGCAGAAGAAGCACCGGCUAACUACGUG